rnacentral:rRNA from 1 species
CCUACGGGUGGCAGCAGUGAGGAAUAUUGGUCAAUGGCCGCAAGGCUGAACCAGCCAAGUCGCGUGAAGGAUGACGGCCCUAUGGUUUGUAAACUUCUUUUAUAGGGGAAUAAAGUUAUCCACGUGUGGCUAUUUGCAUGUACCCUAUGAAUAAGCAUCGGCUAACUCCGUGCCAGCAGCCGCGGUAAUACGGAGGAUGCGAGCGUUAUCCGGAUUUAUUGGGUUUAAAGGGUGCGUAGGUUGUUUUUUAAGUCAGUUGUGAAAGUUUGUGGCUCAACCAUAAAAUUGCCGUUGAAACUGGAAGACUUGAGUGUGUUUGAGGUAGGCGGAAUGCGUGGUGUAGCGGUGAAAUGCAUAGAUAUCACGAAGAACUCCGAUUGCGAAGGCAGCCUACUAAACCAUAACUGACACUGAGGCACGAAAGUGUGGGGAUCAAACAGGAUUAGAUACCCGAGUAGUC